rnacentral:rRNA from 1 species
GAUGAACGCUGGCGGCGUGCUUAACACAUGCAAGUCGAACGGAAAGGCUCCUGCUUGCAGGCGUACUCGAGUGGCGAACGGGUGAGUAACACGUGGGUGAUCUGCCCUGCACUUCGGGAUAAGCCUGGGAAACUGGGUCUAAUACCGGAUAGGACGAUGGUUUGGAUGCCAUUGUGGAAAGUUUUUUCGGUGUGGGAUGAGCUCGCGGCCUAUCAGCUUGUUGGUGGGGUAAUGGCCUACCAAGGCGUCGCCGGGUAGCCGGCCUGAGAGGGUGUACGGCCACAUUGGGACUGAGAUACGGCCCAGACUCCUACGGGAGGCAGCAGUGGGGAAUAUUGCACAAUGGGCGCAAGCCUGAUGCAGCGACGCCGCGUGGGGGAUGACGGCCUUCGGGUUGUAAACUCCUUUCGCUAGGGACGAAGCGCAAGUGACGGUACCUGGAGAAGAAGCACCGGCUAACUACGUG